rnacentral:rRNA from 1 species
UACAGAGGUCCCAAGCGUUGUUCGGAUUCAUUGGGCGUAAAGGGUGCGUAGGCGGCGCGGUAAGUCGGGUGUGAAAUCUCGGGGCUUAACUCCGAAACUGCAUUCGAUACUGCCGUGCUUGAGGACUGGAGAGGAGACUGGAAUUUACGGUGUAGAGGUGAAAUUCGUAGAUAUCGGGAGGAACACCAGUGGCGAAGGCGGCGACCUGGGCCAAUACUGACGCUGAGGUGCGAAAGCGUGGGGAGCAAACAGG